CAUUUUAUUUCAAGACUCGAAAUGGUAAGUUGUGUGCUCUUCGUAAAUAGUUUUAUAUCAAUGAACAAUAUUGAAACCCUAAGCAUUUGGAUAAAUCGAAAUCCGGGCACUCCACGUGCAUGGUGCAUGUGAGACACCUCGGGACAACAUGUGAGCCCGUUGAGACACCUUGGGCACUGAGCCCACUGGAGACGCCAUUGUCACAUUGGAGAAUUUACAUUCUGGUUUGAGGUUAUGUAUGGGUCCAGCUGCAGCAGCGAGCACAUGGAUUUACCGAUAAAGAUCAACUCAGAAAUGUGGUUUAUCGCAGGCAAAUAUAACUAAAUGAGCUCGUUUAUUCGACUGUAUAAGAGUGACGUUGCCUUGUGUAAAAGAUCUUGAUAUAAAAAGAAUUGGACAUCUUCAAAUACUAAAAUAAA
ensembl:ncRNA Uhg2 U snoRNA host gene 2